UUAAUUGAGAGUUUGAUCCUGGCUCAGGAUGAACGCUGGCGGCGUGCCUAACACAUGCAAGUCGAACGAAGUAUAUAUAGGAAGUCUUCGGAUGGAAUAUGUAUAACUUAGUGGCGGACGGGUGAGUAACGCGUAAGUAAUCAACCUGUGACACACGGAUAACUGAUAGAAAUGUCAGCUAAUACGAGAUGAACUGUUUAAAUUGGGAAAUGGAAACAGCAA
rnacentral:ncRNA from 1 species